rnacentral:rRNA from 1 species
GACGUAGGGUGCGAGCGUUGUCCGGAUUUAUUGGGCGUAAAGAGCUCGUAGGCGGUUCCGUAAGUCGGAUGUGAAAACUCGGGGCUCAACCCCGAGACGCCAUCCGAUACUGCGGUGACUUGAGUCUGGUAGGGGAACACGGAAUUCCUGGUGUAGCGGUGAAAUGCGCAGAUAUCAGGAGGAACACCGAUGGCGAAGGCAGUGUUCUGGGCCAGUACUGACGCUGAGGAGCGAAAGCGUGGGUAGCAAACAGG